CCUUUUAAAUGCUUCUUUUAUUUCAUUGGUUGUAUAUUGGGUGAGUGAACUGAAUAUUACAACCAAAACAUAGAAUUGAUACAAAUUAGACUCCUGUUUACACUGUAAGGUAAUGAAUGAGGGAAUUCUUUAAGUGUUACAGAGAGGUUUAGUAGAAAUGUUACCAGUGAUAUGGCUCAAAGAAUAUUUAGGUGAAGUGCUGUUACAUCCUGAAAACAAAGAGUGAAAUGUGGUUCCCAUACAAGUGACGAGUUCAUCUCUUAACUACAGUAUUUGUUGAGUUGCUAUCUUCAUGUCUUGGUAUUGGUGAUUUUGUUUUUGUAAUUAAACAAAGCAUUUAAGAUUUAUUCAUCAUAGUCAGACUUCUGAAUAUAAACAAACUUUUGGCAAAUAAUAUUUAUACAGAAAAAUAGUUUUAGAUCCUCUCAAAUCCCGUGUGCUAAUAAUUUUGAAAAUCAAAACCAUGAAACAAAAGAAAAAAAAGAAAGACAAUGUAACAACAAUUAGUCUACUACAAAAAUAUUUCGGUGAUUCCCAUAAUUUAUGUUUUAGUAAUGUAUACUACGUUUUCA
rnacentral:lncRNA from 1 species